AAUUUUGUAGUUUAUAUAGAAUAAUAAAUUGCAAAUUUAUUGGUAGUUAAUGCACUCAAAAUUU
rnacentral:tRNA from 1 species